AUUGAACGCUGGCGGCGGGCCUAACACAUGCAAGUCGAGCGGAUGAAGGGAGCUUGCUCCUGGAUUCAGCGGCGGACGGGUGAGUAAUGCCUAGGAAUCUGCCUGGUAGUGGGGGAUAACGUCCGGAAACGGGCGCUAAUACCGCAUACGUCCUGAGGGAGAAAGUGGGGGAUCUUCGGACCUCAUGCUAUCAGAUGAGCCUAGGUCGGAUUAGCUAGUUGGUGGGGUAAAGGCCUACCAAGGCGACGAUCCGUAACUGGUCUGAGAGGAUGAUCAGUCACACUGGAACUGAGACACGGUCCAGACUCCUACGGGAGGCAGCAGUGGGGAAUAUUGGACAAUGGGGGAAAGCCUGACCCAGCCAGGCCGCGUGUGUGAAGAAGGUCUUCGGAUUGUAAAGCACUUUAUGUGGGGAGAAAGGGCAGUAAGUUGAUACGUUGCUGUUGUGACGUUACCAACAGAAUAAGCACCGGCUAACUUCGUG
rnacentral:rRNA from 1 species